rnacentral:rRNA from 1 species
CCUACGGGAGGCAGCAGUGAGGAAUAUUGGUCAAUGGACGGAAGGCUGAACCAGCCAAGUAGCGUGAGGGAAGACUGCCCUAUGGGUUGUAAACCUCUUUUAUGCGGGGAUAAAGGGGGCCACGUGUGGAUGUUUGCAGGUACCGCAUGAAUAAGGACCGGCUAAGUCCGUGCCAGCAGCCGCGGUAAUACGGAAGGUCCGGGCGUUAUCCGGAUUUAUUGGGUUUAAAGGGAGCGUAGGCCGGUCUUUAAGCGUGCCGUGAAAUUUUGUGGCUCAACCCUGAGAGUGCGGCGCUAACUGGCGCCCUUGAGUGCGCUUCAGGCAGGCGGCAUUCGUGGUGUAGCGGU